GAUGAACGCUGGCGGCGUGCCUAAUACAUGCAAGUCGAGCGAACAGACGAGGAGCUUGCUCCUCUGACGUUAGCGGCGGACGGGUGAGUAACACGUGGAUAACCUACCUAUAAGACUGGGAUAACUUCGGGAAACCGGAGCUAAUACCGGAUAAUAUAUUGAACCGCAUGGUUCAAUAGUGAAAGACGGUUUUGCUGUCACUUAUAGAUGGAUCCGCGCCGCAUUAGCUAGUUGGUAAGGUAACGGCUUACCAAGGCAACGAUGCGUAGCCGACCUGAGAGGGUGUUCGGCCACACUGGCACUGGGACACGGUCCAGCCCCCUACGGGGGGCAGCAGUAGGGAUUCUUCCGCAAUGGGCGAACGCUUAACGGGGCAACGCCGCGUGAGGGAUGAAGGUUUUCGGAUCGUAAAACUCUUUUAUUGGGGAAGAAAAAAUUUUUAAGUAACUAUGCACGUCUUGACGGUCCCUAAUCAGAAAGCCCCGCCUACCUCCG
rnacentral:rRNA from 1 species